GUUUUUCUGGUUCAAUUCAUUUUAUGUUUGUUGUGCUUCUUAUUUAUUGUUGUUUGUUCUUUAUUUGAAUGGUGAGAUAAACGAGUGGUUGAUCGAGGCCAUAAGAAAAAUGCUCAAAAUGUCAAUCAAAGCUCUUCUCUAGAGCGUCGUGUUGAGUUUUUGGAGAAAGUUUGUGAUAGAAAAUUGGACAAGAUUUUGGAUAAUCAAAAGAAGGAGACGCAACGUAUGGAUCGACUGAUUACUGCUCUUCAAAAAUCAGGUUUAAUUUUCCAAUCGGAAUGGGCUGGCGGCGCUGAUGAUGUUUCUCAACAUUCUAAUCAUUUAAUAGUGUCUUCACCUAUCGAAUAGGGUAGAAAGAGGGCAACAAGAUCUGUUGCUCGACAUUCCGUUGUGCAAAAGUACGGUCCAAGAGACUGUUGAUAUUGAACAAUCAUCUAUUUCAGUUUUUGGUGAUAGGAGUUCUGUGGAUGGCACAGGAUAUGCUGCUGAGGGUUGGCAACUAGCUGAUUUGGAAGGUUUGCAAGUGAUUUCUACUGAAGUAGUCACCCUUGGAGUUAAUUUGGAUGAUCUUCCCUCUAUUCAUACUGAACAAGGAAUCAAACAAACUGAUGUAGCUUCCCACAGUGCAACAAGAAUUGUUGUUGCAUAUAAGAGAAAAUGUUUCCGUAAGAAACUCCAUACUGCCUCUCCUCCUCGUUCUGAUGUACAGGCGCAGAAUGAAGUAGUGUAUCCUCCUAAAACAAGGGUUGAAUCUUGUGUCCCAGUUAUUUGAGAUGGACCAAGAGAAGAGGUUGAUUCGUUGUUGUUGGAUCUUCUUUAAACUUCUACUGUGCCAGGUGAUACAGAAUUAUCAUCUCAGCAAGGUGAAUCUCCUGUUGGAGAUGGCAGAAGAGAAGAUGGUGAUUUAUUGAUACCGGAUCCUACUACUCAAACACCAUCUCAAUAAGUUGAAUCUUUUGUUGGAGAACAAAGAAUAGAAGUGUGCGAUUCAGUGGUGUCAGAUCCUAUUGAAACAACUACCAAAGCAUCGGAUACUAAACAAGCAUCUAUGAAGUUCAAUCUCUUGUUGAAGAUUUCAACAAGAGAGGAGGGUUAUUCAAAUCCUCUUCAACCAACUAUUGUGCCAUCUUAUACGUUAAUGGCAUUGAAAGAAAUUGGAUCUCCUAUUGGAGAUAGAAUAAGAGUAGCUAGUGUGCCAGCUGAUAUGGUAAUGGCAUCUAAAGAAAUUGAAUCUCUUGCUCGAGAUAGAAUAAGGGAAGCUAGUGUGCUAGCUGAUAUGUAAUGGCUUCUGAAGAAAUUAAAUCUCCUGUUAGAGAUAGAAUAAGAUAAGCUAGUGUGCCAAGUGAUAGGAUAAUGACAUCUAAAAAAAUUGAAUCUCCUGUUGGAGAUAGAAUAAGAGAAAAGAGGUGACCCAUUGGUUUCGGAUCAUCUUCCUGAAUCGGUUGAAGUUCAAGUCACCGGUGAUGUGCUUAAAUUGGUUGAAGUUCAAGUCACCGGUGAUGUGCUUGAAAAUGUUGAGUGUUCAACGGUUGAAGAUAAAUCAGUGAAUUUUCCUGAUGAACAGUCCAAUGAGGGUGGUCAAAAGUCACAGACUAUCUUCACUGGUGUGGUACGCGAGGAGCCUCUUGAAUUCGCUAUUCCGUUGAGGAAGGAAUCUGUGCUGCAUACUUAGAGGGUACUCCUAGGGAGUCUGUUCAUUGUGAUGAAGGGAUUGAUACUCCCAACCCUAGCGAGGAUGACUAUCCUAAUGUUGAAUUCGAACAAAUUAUGGAUCUCACUUCUUUUGCCAUGGAAUCGGCUUCUAAUAUUCAAACCCCUCUUGUUGUACAACAAGAACAUCGACAAGAGAAAGUAUUCUCUUCAUUGAAGACAAGAGGUCAGAGAAUAAAAAGGGCAGUAGUCGACACCCCUCCACCUAGAUGUUUGCUUCAGUCUGAUUACAAUAAUCUCCCUCAUGGUUUUCGAAAGAGACAAGUGACUGGGACGAUGGCUAUAAACGAAUUUCCCCCUUCCAUUGUCAUUCAGUCAAAAAAUCUUUGGCCAUUUGGAAAAAAUUCAUAAAUUCAAGAAAUAUUCCAGCCUGGAAAUUUGUUCCUACUAGAGAUCACAAUUAUGGGUGUUUUUCAUCAAGUUUGAUGAUAUGCUCAUCAGUGGUGAAAAUCUAAAUGAUUGGAAUCCCGCUGAUUUGACGAAAUACAUGAAGACAUGGCCAAUAAAUCUCGUUUGUCAUGGAAUCAACAAGUUCGAUGAUGGUUAUGAGACUCCUCCUGAAGCAACAGGACAUGAUUACCAUGAGCAUAAUGACACGUAGUGCAUUUUUGGGAGUAAGAAGAAAAAUAACUGUAGCAAGAAACAGAAGAUUUAGUUUUUUUUUUGUAGGAAACUGUAAUCACUUUUUGUGUUUUCUGCUUGUAAAUUACAUCUCGACAUUUUUACAAAAUAUGUUUUUGUUUAUAAAAGUGAAAUUUGGUUUUUUGGUAUUUUGUUGUAAUUUUUUUAAAUCAAAUUAUGCCCCUGUUGGGAUAAUUUUCUUGGGCAACACUUGUGUGCUUUUCUGUUUUGGUUAUGAAAUUCAAAGUUUUCCUCUUCUGGCAUAA